UACAGAGGUCUCAAGCGUUGUUCGGAUUCAUUGGGCGUAAAGGGUGCGUAGGCGGCGCGGUAAGUCGGGUGUGAAAUCUCGGGGCUUAACUCCGAAACUGCAUUCGAUACUGCCGUGCUUGAGGACUGGAGAGGAGACUGGAAUUUACGGUGUAGCGGUGAAAUGCGUAGAUAUCGUAAGGAAGACCAGUGGCGAAGGCGGUCU
rnacentral:rRNA from 1 species